rnacentral:snoRNA from 1 species
CCCCUUUUAAAAGCACUCAUUGGGCCUUUUGCCAGUGACCCACUGAACCGUCAAAAGGGGCAGAUUAAAAAAACACCAAUUUUGGGUGAAGCGGCAAACAUCUCAUGUUGUUCAGCUUCAAUCAAGAUGUGACAAAA